ACUGAAUAGAUACCCGGGUAGUCCACGCUGUAAACGAUGAGUGCUAGAUGCCGGAUUUUUUCGGUGUCGCAGCUAAACGCAUUAAGCACUCCACCUGGGAAGUACGAUCGCAAGGUUGAAACUCAAAGGAAUUGACGGGGGCCCGCACAAGCAGUGGAGCAUGUGGUUUAAUUCGAUGCAACGCGAAGAACCUUACCUAGGCUUGAAAAGCUUAUGACCGGCUGUGAAAGCAGCUUUCCCGCAAGGGCAUAAGUACAGGUGCUGCAUGGCUGUCGUCAGCUCGUGCCGUGAGGUGUUGGGUUAAAGUCCCGCAACGAGCGCAACCCUUACCAUUAGUUGCCACCGGAGCAAUCCGAGCACUCUAAUGGAACUGCCUACGCAAGUAGUGAGGAAGGUGAGGAUGACGUCAAGUCCGCAUGGCCCUUACGCCUAGGGCUACACACGUGCUACAAUGGCCGCCACAACGGGCAGCAAAAUCGCGAGAUGGAGCGAAUCCCUAAAAAGCGG
rnacentral:rRNA from 1 species